UGGGGAAUAUUGCGCAAUGGGCGAAAGCCUGACGCAGCAACGCCGUGUGAGGGAUGAAGGCUUUCGGGUCGUAAACCUCUGUCGGAAGGGAAGAACGGGCAUUGGUCUAAUAGGCCUUUGUUUUGACGGUACCUUUAGAGGAAGCACCGGCUAACUCCGUGCCAGCAGCCGCGGUAAUACGGAGGGUGCAAGCGUUAUUCGGAAUUACUGGGCGUAAAGCGCACGUAGGCGGCCUUGUAAGUCAGGGGUGAAAUCCCACGGCUCAACCGUGGAACUGCCUUUGAAACUGCAGGGCUUGAAUCCUGGAGAGGGUGGCGGAAUUCCUGGUGUAGGAGUGAAAUCCGUAGAUAUCAGGAGGAACACCGGUGGCGAAGGCGGCCACCUGGACAGGUAUUGACGCUGAGGUGCGAAAGUGUGGGGAGCAAACAG
rnacentral:rRNA from 1 species